UUGCAACUGUCGCUGAAAGUGAGGCCUUCAAAGGCCCCGGCUACUGCCGGUCAGUCUACUGACUACAGCAUCAUGUCAGGAGCAGCCUCACGAGGAACACCUGCCCAGGAGUGGCACCACCCUGGGAGCUGGACCCUCCCGCAUCAAUCCUUAAUGAAGAAAAUGUUCCACUGAUUGCAGCGAAUUGCACAGGCCGGAGUGAUGGCAUUGUCUCAGCUGAGGCUGCCUCUUCCGGGUGACUCUAGCAUGUGUGAAGAGCAUGAAAAUUUCAAGAAUUAAAAUCAAGGAGCAUAUGAUUAUCUGUACUUCAGGAGAGGACAACCAUGAACCUGGGGACAGAUCCAAGUGACCUGAGAGUGCAGCUCCAUCCUGUGUCCUCCUGGGGACAGUCACAGCGAUCUGAAGCUAGAGGAAACUAAAGGAAGACAAUUUUGCUUAGGAUUGGAUGUAUUUUCGGCAUAUUCGAUGAACUUUGGACCAGUUCCCAGCUUCCAGAGGGAGAAGGAAGGUCCAGCAUUGGGAAGAUGAAGCCGUAGAUCCUGCUUUGCCCCUGGAAGGCUGGCACACACUAGUGUGGUAGAAGGCGGGUACACACCAGUGUGGAUUCCCUGAAGGAUCUGAGGACUGGAUCCCCAUGUGAAUAUCAAAGAUGGUGCGCCUGAUACAUAGACUAAGCUAAAAUAACUUAAAAGUCUGAAUUUGGGUUGGUUUUUAGCAUACAGAUCUAGAGCAAGGAAACCAGGCUCAUGGCAAACAUCCAGAGUCUUAGACCUAUUAUUUCACAGUGUCAAACUGACCAACCCAGAUUUAGAGAUGUAGAACUGGCAGGACCUGGGAGGAGAUCUCCCAGUCUGACAUAACACAGGGCAAGACUAAGGUAGAAAAUAGAGGGGCUUUCUCUAAGACUGCGGAGCAAGCUUGUGGCUGGCUAUGGACAGAAAAAGGAUUCAGGAACCAGCGGUUCCAGACUUUUCUGACUGGCUGUACUGUCUGCCUUGGGCAAAGAGCUACAUGGAUUUGUUAUAAAAUCAUUUUGGACCCACCUGGCUUUGUCUUCUGAAUGCCAAAAUGCUUCUUCAGGCGAAAAGCGGGGAGAAAACAACCACGAUUAUUUGACCAGGAGAGGAGCAGGAGCAGAACACCACAGAGUUCAGCUGUGACUCAGGAAACUCAGGCUUUGUUGGGAAAAUACAGACAUACAAUGCCAGCCCUUCAGAUCUUCUUCAUCACAACAGCCUUAAAAAAUGACUGUAUUUAGUGAUGUGUGUGUGUAUGUAUGUAUGUGUGAGUGUGCGUGUCCAUGUGUGUCUCUGUGAGUGUGUAGGGGGGCACGUACCAUACUACAUAUAUGGAGGUCAGACACACAUUUGAGGCAAUUGGUUCUCUCCUUCCCUCAUAUGGAUUUUGAGGAUCAAAUUCAGAUCGUUAGUCUUGGCAGCCAAGCGCCUUCACCCAUUGAGCUGUGUUGCCAGCCCCAUUUCUUUUUGUUUCCUUAGGGGAAAAGAAAACAGUUCUGGGGGAAGAUAACAUACAUCAUACGCAGUUUGACACCUCCACUACAGCCGAUACAGUGCUUGGUACCUCGUAAGUUUCUCUUCAUGCCUUCUAAAUUCUGGAAGAGUGACAGAAUCCUACUGGAACUUUAGUACAAGCUAAGUAGACGCUGCAAGCCGAACGUACCUGCAGCCAACAGCUGCAUCCACAGCCACACUUCCCCAGCCCUUUAGAUACCCCAUCCUCACUCCAAUGACACAGACGAGUCUUCUCCUGGUUAUGUGCUCCUUACAAAUAAAUGGUGGAGGCACAUUGGCAGGAAGUGGGAUUCCCAGUUGGAGAGAACUCGGCAGAAGAGAAUGGCUUUGCAUAGUGUAGUUUCAUUUACGUGAUGGAAAGCUCGUAUCAAUGUGGCAGCUGAUUGAUAAGAACGUAGCAGCCUGUCCUUAUUGACAAGGUUUUGUGUCUUCAAUGAUCCACUGAAUUUUACAUUAAGUUAUAAUUUUUAGUUAGGCGGAUUGAUGUAAACAAUACAAAAUCAAGGCAAGUAUGCUUUCUUUUGUACGCUUUCUCUUGAAUUUAAUUUCUAGACCUAAUUUUAUGUUCAGAAAAGAGUGAC